GUCGCAGUAGAUGGUGAAAAUGGAGAGGUAUCUGUUGUGGACAAUGUAGUUUCCCCUGUUUUAACACUUUCAAGUGUAGAUGAUUCUAAUGUUGACAUGCUCGUAGGGGUCAUAACUGUUGUUAAGGUUGAUUGAGCUGUCGUUGUAGAUUCAGUUUCUGUGGUAGAACUAAACUGAGUGGUUUGUGUUUGUUGGCUUGUUGUUUGCUCUGCACUGGAAGUAGGCAUUUCUGUUGUAGUAGUAAACUCUGAUGUACUUUGUCCUUCUGUUGUAGUAGAUGGUGAAAACGGAGAGGUAUCUGUUGUGGAUAAUGUAGUUUCCUCUGUUGUAACACUUUCAAGUGUAGAUGAUUCUAAUGUCGACAUGCUUAUAGAGGUCAUAACUGUUGUAAAUGCUGAUUGAGCUGUCGUUGUAGGUUCAGUUUCUGUGGUAGAACUAAACUGAGUGGUUUGAGCCUGCUGGUUUGUUGUUUUCUCUGCACUGGAAGUGGGUAUUUCUCUUGUUGAUGAAGUGAAUUCUGAUGUAUUUUGUUCUUCUGUUGUAGUAGAUGGUGAAAACGGAGAGGUACCUAUUGUGUUUAUUGUAGUUUCCAUUGUUGAACCACUUAUAAGUGAAGAUGAUUCAAAUGUGGACAUGCUCAUAGGGGUCAUAGCUGUUGUAAAUAUUGAUUGAGCUGUCGUUGUAGAUUCAGUUUCUGCGGUAGAACUAAACUGAGUUGUUUGUGCCUGCUGGCUUGUUGUUGGCUCUACACUGGAAGUAGAUAUUUUUGCUGUUGUUGAAAUCAUUUGUGAUGUACUUUGUCCGUCUGUUGUGGUAGACGGUAAGAAUGGAGAGGUACCUGUUGUGGAUAAU
ensembl:lncRNA